CCUCUUUUUUUGCGUUUUUCGGCCAGACAACUAGAAUUUCGCGCGAUUCCCAUAUUUUUGUGUGUUAUAGCCCAUGUCUUCCGAGUGGUCAAGGGACCUCCUGACCCCUAUCGCCUAAUAUUUUUCCGAACUAUCAAAUAAGACCAAAGGAACCAUAGUCACCACCCCUCCAAGAUCUUUCCACAUUUUUUGCAUGUUACUGAAAAAGACCUAGAAUUUCGCCCGAUUCCCAUAUUUUCGUGUGCUAUACCCACGCAUUCAGAGUGGUCCCAAGAGCCGCGGACCCCGAUCGCCUAAAAUUUUUCCGGGCAAUCAAAUACGACCUAAUGAACCAUAAUAUCUGCCUCGCCAUGAUCGUUCCUUAUUUUUGUCGUUUUUCGGCCAAACAACUAGAAUUCCGCGUGAUUCACAUUAUUUUGUGUUUUAUAGCCCACGCCUUCCGAGUGGUCACGGGACCUCCGGACCCCGAUGUCCUAAAAUUUUUCUGGGCAAUCAAAUUAUGACCUAAGGAACCAUAGUAUCCGCCCCGCCAUGAUCGUUCCUCAUUUUUUCGUUUUUCGGCCAAACAACUAGAAUUCCGCGCGAUUCCCAUAUUUUUGUGUGUUAUAGCCCACGCCUUCCGAGUGGUCCCGGGACCUCCGGACCCCUAUCGCCUAAUAUUUUUUCGGACUAUCAAAUAAGACCAAAGGAACCAUAGUCACCGCCCUGUCAAGAUCUUUCCACAUUUUUUGCAUGUUACUGAAAAAGACCUAGAAUUUCGCCCGAUUCCCAUAUUUUCGUGUGCUAUAGCCCACGCAUUCUGAGUGGUCCCGGGACCUCCUGACCUCUAUCGCCUAAAAUAUUUCCGGACUAUCAAAUACGACCUAAGGAACCAUAGUAUCUGCCCAGCCAUGAUCAUUCCUCAUUUGUUGCGUUUUUCGGCCAAAAAACUAGAAUUACGCCCGUUUCCCAUAUUUUCGUGUGCUAUACCCAUGCCUUCCAAGUGGUCUGGGGAGCCGCGGACCCCGAUCGCCUAAAAUUUUUUCGGACUAUCAAAUACGACCUAAGGUACCAUAGUCACCACCCUACCAUGAUCGUUCCAAUUGCUUUGCAAUUUUUGGCUAAAAAACUAGAACUCCGCGCGAUUUGCAUAUUUUAGUGUGCUAUAUAGCUUACGCUUUCUGAGUGGUC
rnacentral:lncRNA from 1 species